rnacentral:rRNA from 1 species
UACGUAGGAGGCGAGCGUUGUCCGGAUUUACUGGGCGUAAAGGGCGCGUAGGCGGUCAGCACAAGUCAGUUGUGAAAUCUCCGGGCUUAACUCGGAAAGGUCAACUGAUACUGUGCGACUAGAGUGCAGAAGGGGCAACUGGAAUUCUCGGUGUAGCGGUGAAAUGCGUAGAUAUCGAGAGGAACACCUGCGGCGAAGGCGGGUUGCUGGGCUGACACUGACGCUGAUGCGCGAAAGCCAGGGGAGCGAACGGG